GGGGAAUAUUGCACAAUGGGGGAAACCCUGAUGCAGCGACGCCGCGUGAAGGAAGAAGGUUUUCGGAUCGUAAACUUCUAUCAGCAGGGAAGAAGAAUCCUCUCCUUUGGAGAGGCGUGACUGUACCUGACUAAGAAGCCCCGGCUAACUACGUGCCAGCAGCCGCGGUAAUACGUAGGGGGCAAGCGUUAUCCGGAAUCACUGGGUGUAAAGGGUGCGUAGGCGGUAGGGCAAGUCAGAUGUGAAAGCCCGGAGCUCAACUCCGGGACUGCAUUUGAAACUGUUCUACUAGAGUGCAGGAGAGGAAAGCGGAAUUCCUAGUGUAGCGGUGAAAUGCGUAGAUAUUAGGAAGAACACCAGUGGCGAAGGCGGCUUUCUGGACUGUAACUGACGCUGAGGCACGAAAGCGUGGGGAGCGAAC
rnacentral:rRNA from 1 species